rnacentral:rRNA from 1 species
UACGAAGGGAAAAGUCUAGCUUGCUAGAAGUGGAUUAGUGGCGCACGGGUGAGUAAUGCAUAGGUUAUGUGCCCCAUAGUCUGGGAUAGCCACUGGAAACGGUGAUUAAUACCGGAUACUCCUUACGAGGGAAAGUUUUUCGCUAUGGGAUCAGCCUAUGUCCUAUCAGCUUGUUGGUGAGGUAAUGGCUCACCAAGGCUAUGACGGGUAUCCGGCCUGAGAGGGUGAACGGACACACUGGAACUGAGACACGGUCCAGACUCCUACGGGAGGCAGCAGUAGGGAAUAUUGCUCAAUGGGCGAAAGCCUGAAGCAGCAACGCCGCGUGGAGGAUGAAGGUUUUAGGAUUGUAAACUCCUUUUGUUAGAGAAGAUUAUGACGGUAUCUCAGAAAUUAAGCACA